UCUAGAAUGAUGGUGGUACUACACACUUAACUCAGAAGGCAGUCUUUGAAGAAGUUAGACAUUUGUGAGGAGCAACAUAGAAAGAUAAUCCUAGAAAAUACUGCCUAACCUGGAACAAAAAGAACAAAACGUCACACAGCAAAUGUGAUUUCAAGAAACGAACAUAUUUGGAUUGUGUGCAGUCAGACACAUAACUACAAGUGCAUGAUUUCUGAUGGCAUUGCAAAGGAAGUUUUGAUAGGAUGUGAUACUGCUACAAGCUUGGAGAUUGGUCCAGGCAGAAUGACGUAGCUGAAAA